GGGACAGUGCAGGGACAGCGUCCGUCUUUAUGGGUAGACUGCCGUACGGAGAAGUAGUGGAUAAGCCACUAUGGGUUACCAGCGGAGUGAAGAGUGUUCCUGAACCGUACUGACGGAUGUGCUGCAGCCCGUUAGGGUCAAGAGAGGGAUAGACUUGCACUUUGCAUUAACACUAAGUCAGCUGUCAUGGGGUUUCUGUGUCUUUGGGCUAAUACUUCUUCUGAUACUAACAAAUAAAGUUUUGUCUUUUAGCAAAUAACAUUUUAGGGGGGACUGUUGUAGAAU